rnacentral:rRNA from 1 species
UGGGGAAUAUUGGACAAUGGGCGCAAGCCUGAUCCAGCCAUGCCGCGUGAGUGAAGAAGGCCUUCGGGUUGUAAAGCUCUUUUGUCCGGAAAGAAAUCCUGUCGGUUAAUACCCGGCGGGGAUGACGGUACCGGAAGAAUAAGCACCGGCUAACUUCGUGCCAGCAGCCGCGGUAAUACGAAGGGUGCAAGCGUUACUCGGAAUUACUGGGCGUAAAGCGUGCGUAGGUGGUUCGUUAAGUCUGAUGUGAAAGCCCUGGGCUCAACCUGGGAACUGCAUUGGAUACUGGCGAUCUGGAGUGCGGUAGAGGGGUGCGGAAUUCCCGGUGUAGCAGUGAAAUGCGUAGAUAUCGGGAGGAACAUCCGUGGCGAAGGCGGCACCCUGGACCAGCACUGACACU